rnacentral:piRNA from 1 species
UAGACUUGCUGAAUGGUUGUGACCAAA